UACGUAGGGACCAAGCGUUGUUCGGAUUUACUGGGCGUAAAGGGCGCGUAGGCGGCGCGGUCAGUCACUUGUGAAAUCUCUGAGCUUAACUCAGAACGGCCAAGUGAUACUGCAGUGCUAGAGUGUGGAAGGGGCAAUCGGAAUUCUUGGUGUAGCGGUGAAAUGCGUAGAUAUCAAGAGGAACACCUGAGGUGAAGACGGGUUGCUGGGCCAACACUGACGCUGAGGCGCGAAAGCCAGGGGAGCAAACGGG
rnacentral:rRNA from 1 species